GCAAAGGAGAAAGAAUCUAACCAUAGAUAACUGCUAUGGUUUUUGAAAAUGAUCUGGGUUCAUAUUUAAUAAAAGAUAGUUGAACUAAAAAAACUACUCCUUUUUCAAUAAGAAUUAUCAAAUCAUCCUAAGCACAAUAAAAGGGAAUUGUGGCACAAAAAGAGGAGUGAGAAGGAAUAGGGUAAAUAAAAAGAAAUAAGAAGGAUAAUUAGGAAAAAUACGAAGGAGGGAAAUACACAAGUAAUUAUAACAGGAUGUGGAUGAAAUGAAUUUACUCAUAAAAUGGAAAUAGAUCAAUAUUUUUAAUUCAACAAUAUGUUGCUUUCAAGAAACACAAUAAAAAUGAGAGAUAUACACAGAUAAAAUAAAGGAGUAGAAUUUAUGUUAUAUUAAAAAAGCAGAGGGUAGUAAUAAUAAUCUCAAAGUUAAAAUAGAUAUAAUCAAAAAAGAAAAUAGGGAAACUACACUAUAUGUGACCAAUGUUAUUCAAUAAUAUUGUUUUAGACCUCUUAAAAUAAUUUGACAGUAUAAAACAUCUGAGAGCAUACCUGCCAAAACAGACACAGGAGCUAUAUGAACAUAAACAUAAAACACUUUAUACAAAUAAAAUCAGACUUAAAUAAUUGGAGCAGUGUUUAUUGUUCAUGGUUAGGUGAAGUCAAUAAAAUUUGAAAAAAAUGACAGUGCUACCAAACUAAUCUAUUUAUUCAAUGCCAUUCCAAUUAAAUUACUAAGAAAUUAUCUUAUUGAGUUAGAAAAAAUGAUAACAAAGUACAAAUGUCAGGAAUUUCAAAGAAACCCGGGGAAAAGAGAUGUAAAAGAAGGAGAUUUAGCAGUAUCAAACUUUAAAUUAUAUUAUAAAGUGAGAGCACUGUUGAGGCAUGAAAUGGAUAAUUUCAAUUAUUUUAAAUUGAAAAUUUCUUAUAUAAAUAAAACCAGUCUAGCUAAGAGUAAAAGGAAUGCAGAAAAUUAAAACAAAACUUCUUUAAGAUGAUGGGGUUGGGGUUGAGGAGAAGCAAAAAUUAAAGUAAAAAGUAUAUAGCAGAGAACAAAAGAAAACCUACAAAGAAGUAAAAAAGAAAAAGAAAAGCUAGGUAGUUUUGAAAACAAUGUGUAGUAUUUAUUAUUUAGCUUUUCUUGAAGUGGAAGUUGAUCGUUUUGCAUUGAAUCUUUUCUUAUUGUCCCUUUUUCCCCCCUUUUAUCGUCUUGUAUUUAUGUUUAAAAUGAAUAAUUUUUUUUAAAGGAAAGAAAAAAAGCUCAAGGAUAGAACAAGAGGCAGAAAUGGAUGGGUGCCCAGAGGAGGAGUAGUUGAGGUGGGAGGUUUACUCCAAGGUCAGGUUUCAGGCCUGAGGCAGAAACAGAGCCUUUGGACUUUGUGGUGGCCACCUAACAAGAGUCCUCACCUAUUAAAAGAUACUAUCUCUUGGGACAACUACAACUGCUUCCAUACCCUAUUCAGUUGCUGCUUCCUCAAGUGCCUAAGCAAGGACAAAGAACAGGAGUGAGGUGGGCUCAUGAGGGUGGGAUCUACUAAAUCUAGGAGGCUGAGAACAAUACUAAGGUGGGACAGUGGAGAAUGAGAACAAUGAGAACCUGUAAUUUGUUUCAAUAAGGUAAAGUCAAGAGGUGGAGCCCAAAGGUAACCCUAAGGGAGUGAACUGUGGGAUGGGAUUAAAAAGAUUUGAGACUAAUGAAGAGGGUGGAAAAGGGUAAGAGAAAGAGAGCUCUAAGCUACUAGUAAAUUCAAACUAGACUUUGAGAAUGCUACAUGAUGAAGUAGAGAGAAAUAAAUUGAAGGACAUGGAGGUAUAAAGCCGAAGACACUGAGGCAAGAUAGAGAUUAGAGAGGUUGGUUUUUUUUUUUUUUGUUUGUUUGUGAUAAUAUUAGCUUUUAGGGUGGAGAGGGGAGAAAUGAGCAAACAGUUUGACUUUUUUAUUCAAUUUUUUCUCUUCCCUCCUAGUUGGUGGAGGACUAGAUUUUCCUUCCAAAUUCUUGGUGCUGUGUUUAUGAGAAAUGGAAAAAGGGGUAUUUCUGUUGCAUCACCCUUUCCUUUUCAGGCUCAAGUGGCCAAGAUUUGAAGUUCCCUUCUUCUUUCUAGGAACUAAAAUCUCACUUCCCUGCCUGCUUCAACUCUAAAGCUAGAACAUGACUAAAGGUCAAAACUCAAGAGGCGUAAGCUGCAAUACCUGAAAAGAGCACACGGGGGCGUCCAAAACACAUGAAGAAGGAUUAGAUGGAAGUAAAAGAGGUGAUGUCUUUAUGAAUGUGUCUAUAUGUUUAUGUCUUUGUGCCUCUUUGCAUGAGUGUGUGCAUGCGUAUAGGACUAUGUACAUCUGUGUGGGUGUAUUUGAGACUGUGAUGGGAGACGGUAUUUAAUAAAUGUUUUUAUUUGAA